CACAUGCAAGUCGAGGGGCAGCAUAAUGGAUAGCAAUAUCUAUGGUGGCGACCGGCGCACGGGUGCGUAACGCGUAUGCAACCUACCUUUAACAGGGGGAUAACACUGAGAAAUUGGUACUAAUACCCCAUAAUAUCAUAGAAGGCAUCUUUUAUGGUUGAAAAUUCCGAUGGUUAGAGAUGGGCAUGCGUUGUAUUAGCUAGUUGGUGGGGUAACGGCUCACCAAGGCGACGAUACAUAGGGGGACUGAGAGGUUAACCCCCCACACUGGUACUGAGACACGGACCAGACUCCUACGGGAGGCAGCAGUGAGGAAUAUUGGUCAAUGGACGCAAGUCUGAACCAGCCAUGCCGCGUGCAGGAUGACGGCUCUAUGAGUUGUAAACUGCUUUUGUACGAGGGUAAACGCAGAUACGUGUAUCUGUCUGAAAGUAUCGUACGAAUAAGGAUCGGCUAACUCCGUGCCAGCAGCCGCGGUAAUACGGAGGAUUCAAGCGUUAUCCGGAUUUAUUGGGUUUAAAGGGUGCGUAGGCGGUUUGAUAAGUUAGAGGUGAAAUUUCGGGGCUCAACCCUGAACGUGCCUCUAAUACUGUUGAGCUAGAGAGUAGUUGCGGUAGGCGGAAUGUAUGGUGUAGCGGUGAAAUGCUUAGAGAUCAUACAGAACACCGAUUGCGAAGGCAGCUUACCAAACUAUAUCUGACGUUGAGGCACGAAAGCGUGGGGAGCAAACAGGAUUAGAUACCCUGGUAGUCCACGCAGUAAACGAUGAUAACUCGUUGUCGGCGAUACACAGUCGGUGACUAAGCGAAAGCGAUAAGUUAUCCACCUGGGGAGUACGUUCGCAAGAAUGAAACUCAAAGGAAUUGACGGGGGCCCGCACAAGCGGAGGAACAUGUGGUU
rnacentral:rRNA from 1 species